CUCCCUGGUGACGGAUGCACGCCCGGCCCUCCGAAGGCCGGGUCCCUGGUUCGACUCCAGGCAGGGAGA
rnacentral:tRNA from 1 species